rnacentral:lncRNA from 12 species
UUUAACCGCCCAUGUGGGCCACCUGUUUUUCCUCUUCUUGCAAAUUAAACUCUGGCUCUUAUAUUUUAUUUUUUAAAUAUUUUAUUUAUUUAUUCAUAGAGACAGAGAGAGAGAGAGGCAGAGACACAGGCAGAGGGAGAAGCAGGCAUCAUACAGAGAGCCUGACGUGGGACUCGAUCCAGGGUCUCCAGGAUCACACCCUGGGCUGCAGGCGGCGCUAAACCGCUGUGCCACCGGGGCUGCCCUGGCUCUUAUAUUUUAAAUUCACCAGUGAAGAGUGAGCCCGAGAAACCCAAGGCCCCCACCCUCCACCCCAGUAAAAGCAGAAUCCCAGAGCUGGUCUCUCUCUCUCUCUACCUGUGAGCUUGCUGUGUGGCCCCACUGGGCUGUGUAACUUCCAGGACUUCCAAAGAAUCCAAGGGACCAAAUAUGUGAAUUGAUCUUUAACACUGGCAGCGUUGAGCCUACCAUUUGCUUAAAGGUGUGACCAUGUGAGUAAUAAAGAUUAACUAGAUUAUCUGUGAUCCACACAAAAUGUGUGCUUUUGUUAACUAGGGUUUGAUACUGGGUACGGCACUUACCAGCUGUGAGGAUUUAGGGAAGUUAUUUACAUUCUAAGCUUCUGUUUGUGCAUCUGUUAAGUGAAGAUAUAAAUAGUAACUAUUACAUGUUUUUUUUUUCUUCCUGAAGAAUAAAUAAGUUAUGUAUUUCGUUUACCUGGUACCAUGGCUGACAUGUGGAAGAUGCUUAGUAAAUAUGAGAAAGUAUUAUUACUGCUGGAAGAAGAAAGGGGAAGAUAAAGAGUUAUGGUUGUUUCAGGGAAUGUCUGGGAUCUUUCAUCUUUGUGAAGUCUGGUGUCCACGGCUAUGCAUCCAUCCAUCCAUCCAUCCAUCCAUCCAUAUAUCUUCCUCCUUGGAUGUACAUUAGAGAAACUCUUCAUAUAGAAUUUAUUUCACAGUAAACAUAAACCUCCUUUUCCCUUUGUCUGUGACCUUAUUGUGUCUUCAUUGAUUUCUCUGUCUAGGAAGCAGGCUUGGUCCUGGGCCUUUCAUUUAUGUUGUAUGGCAUUUUAUACACAACAAUCCCGAGAGACCGUUACAGUUAUCUCCAG